GCAGCAGCAGCUGCACUGCUGGUGCCUCGAGGAUGCUUGCCAAGAUGGAGAUUUCUGAGGGACAGCUCUUGUGGUGUUUGAAAUAAGGCAAUCAUCUCCCCUCUGAAUCCCCAGCAGGCUGUUGGAGCACAAGAAGAGCAGCUGUUACGUGUCUCACAGACCAUGCUGGAACCAAAUCAGCCGGUUGCAUCAGCUCAGGAAAAGACAGAGACUCCUGAACUAACCACUGAGCCCAGGAGAACUUUUGAGCAGGUGGAACCUGAGGGGAGAGGAAUCGGAAUUUUUAGGAGAAUGUUCCCACCACACUCUCUUAGGUCGCGUGUCCCCAAGUCUGACCAGCAAAAUACCUUGACUUCUCAAAGAGAAGAGUUCUCCAGCAGCUCAGGGGAGCAGCAGUAGCCCUCCUGCUGAUGCACAGCCUGUGGAGCAAGGGGUGUCCCUGCUGCAGUCACAGCUGGCCCGAGACCGACAGCACCACCUGGAGAGCUGUGCAGGGAGCAGGCACGAGACACUCCCGUCGAGUCACAGGGAGCAGAAGGGAUCUCCUUGCUUCCUAAACUUCUCAGAGAGGAGCCAGAAUGCAGCUGGAUGUAGAAUUAGCCUUAGAAUUUGUCAGUAGUUUAUGUUUAAAGGAUAGUUAUAGGUGUAAGUGAACUUUAUACAACAGUGUUCCAUAGGAUGUAGGAUGUAUUUAUAGACAAAUAAAGAGGUUGUUAUGAUCACGA